UGAGGAAUAUUGGUCAAUGGGCGAGAGCCUGAACCAGCCAAGUCGCGUGAGGGAAGACGGUCCUACGGAUUGUAAACCUCUUUUGUCGGGGAACAAAAGGCGCCACGCGUGGUGUAUAGAGUGUACCCGAAGAAAAAGCAUCGGCUAACUCCGUGCCAGCAGCCGCGGUAAUACGGAGGAUGCGAGCGUUAUCCGGAUUUAUUGGGUUUAAAGGGUGCGCAGGCGGCGCGCCAAGUCAGCGGUCAAAGUUCCGGGCUCAACCCGGUGUCGCCGUUGAAACUGGCGUGCUCGAGUGCGUGCGAGGAAGGCGGAAUGCGUUGUGUAGCGGUGAAAUGCAUAGAUAUGACGCAGAACUCCGAUUGCGAAGGCAGCUUUCCAGCGCGCUACUGACGCUGAGGCACGAAAGCGUGGGGA
rnacentral:rRNA from 1 species